UAGCAAGAGAAACAGCAAGUUCUGGCCAAGCGCUCACCAUUCUGCAGAAUAAGGAUCAGAACUUUACAGAGCAGUUCAUCGUGGCCCUGUCAUUCGCCUCCUUCACCAAAGCUCAGUCAGGGACCUACAUGAAGAGUGCCAUCACUCAGAGAGACACUUUGACCUGUCCAGCUCUCUCAUUGGACUCAUAGACGGCAGCUUUGAGAUGGGUUUCAACAAUAACAUUGAGUUGCUUGAAAAUUCAUGUAUUUAAAACCAGAUACAAACUACAGUAUGAUAAAUUUUUUGUUGUGGUUCAAUCAGAGUCUGCUCUCAAUACUGUCCAUUUUUAUAGUUGUUCCUAUUAAUUGAUUGACUGGCGAUUGUCCAUAACUCUACUGUCAAACCCCUAACAUUGCUAUGUUGUUGCAGCCUAGUAUCCAAACUGAUAUGCCAUUUUUAGUUUUUUUUUUUUAACUGUGUUUAUAAUUUGCGAUUCCUGGCUACUGUAGUGUUGUGGUUUCUUGCAGGUAACCUGCUGUUCCUGGCUGUGGUCAGCCAUUUUGGGGCGAAGCUGCACCGGCCCAGGCUCAUUGCUAUGGGCUGUUUCCUCAUGGCUGUAGGAUCCUUCCUCACAGGCCUGCCACACUUCUUCAUGGGACGGUAAAACAACUGAAAUACUGGUUAAACUUGUACUUGUAGAGAUACUCCAAUGCGGAGGAUAGUUUUACUUUAGAAAUAAAGAAAUGUAUCCAGUUGUUGAUUAAUCUCAGUUAACUUAGAACUAAAGUCUUGCGUAAUUGGUCAGCUGCUUGAUUAUGUUUUGGGGCCAUACAUGUUAAGAGAAGGGAUUAAGAGAUGCUAUAACUGUGACGUGGUAAGGUUGGACCCAGGCGCAGAGAAGAGACCAGAAGAUGAAGCAGUGGUUCCAACCAGUGUCUCCACUCCUCAAGGGCCCACUUAACUGCCAAGAGCUCCCGGUUGCCUACGUGGUAGUUGCCUUCCGCUGGUCGAGAACUGCUUGGAGAGAAAGGUGCAUGGGUGCAGUUUCUUGUCCUCCUCGUUUGCUGUGAAAGGACCGCCCCAGCUCCGGUGUCCGAGGCCUCCACCUCUACCACAAAGGGACGAGUAGGAUCAGGAUGAACGAGGAAGGGUCCGGAGGUGAAACGUCCCUUGAGCUCUAUGAAUGCCCUGUCAGCCUCGGGAUUCCAGCAAAAACCUGCUUAAGUGAGGUGGGACAGGGCUGUAUGUGUUCCAGAAGAGUUUUUGGGGAAGAUCAGGAUGUCGUCGAGGUAAACAAAGACGAACCGAUUCAACAUUUCCCUAAGAGUGUCAUUGAUCAAUGCCUGAACGACUGCUGGUGAGUUAGAUAUUCCGAAGGUCAUGACUAGAUACUCAGUGACCACUGGGAGUGUUAAAGGCAGUUUUCCACUCAUCUCCCUGAUUCUCACCAGAUUUUAAGCGUUGCGGAGGUCCAGUUUGGUGAAGAAUUGGGCUCCUAGGGCCAACUCCAAGUUUGGGUCAGAGACAGAGAGACAAGGGAUGCGUUUAGACAGGCAGCCCAAAUAUGAUAUUUGUUCCACUAAUUGGUCUUUUGAACAAUCACAGUAGAUAUUUUCGCAUCAGCUCUUUUUCAGAGCAUAUCUGAUUGGUCAAAAUACAAAUUACUAAAAAAAAUGGCUGAAUUGGGCUGCCUGUCUCAACGAAGCCAUAGAAACCUGGACAUGCUCCAACUGAAAUGUUCCCUCCUGUCAGUACUGAUGUUGAAUGGCAUUAAAUACACUUUUUUUGUUCUCUCCCAUCCCCUGUAGGUUUGUUGAACAUGAGUUGAUAUGAAACUCCAGCACACUGGUAGCACUAUAGAUGUGUGAGUAUAACUUUUCCAGGUGAGUUGAACCUUCCUGUGGGUGCGGUGGGGACAUUCCUGGAAGGUCUACUAAUGAAGAGGUAUAAGCUAGACGGUGUCUGGAGCCCAGCUGUCUUUCGUCCCCUCCUUCAUGGCCUACCUCCUCCUCCCUCUGCAGUCUGGCACUAAGUGUGACAACGUUCAGGUGGCUGGUCUGACCGUGUCCUACAACGAGUCUCCUGGUGUACGAUGGCAGCCUGUUGUCAGAGUGUAACAGAGACUGCUCCUGCUUGGCUGGGGAGUGGAACCCUGUGUGUUCAGACAAUGGCAUCACCUACACCUCCCCCUGCCUCGCAGGCUGCUCCAGCUCUACAGGUUAUGGCAAGAACACGGUACCAAUACUAUUAAUGUACUGAGUGUACAAAACAUUCACAGGGAUGCUGGCCCAUGUUGACUCCAAUGCUUCCCACAGUUGUGUCAAAUUGGCUGUAUUGUCUUUUGAGUGGUGGACCAUUCUUGAUACACACGGGAAACUUUUGAGCGUAAAAAGCGUUGCAGUUCUUGACACAAACUGGUAUCCCUAGCACCUACUACCAUGCCCCGUUGAAAGGCACGUAAAUUUUGUCUUGCCCAUUCACCCUCUGAAUGGCACACAUACACAAUCCAUGUCUCAAUUGUCUCAAGCCUUACAAUAUACUUUUUAACCUUUCUCCUCCUCUUUAUCUACACUUAUUUAAGUGGAUUUAACUAGUGACAUCCAUAAGAGAUUAUAGCUUUAACCUGGAUUCAUCUGGUCAACAUAUGUCCUGGAAAGAGCAGGUGUUCUUAAUAUUUUAUACACUCAGUGUAACUCAUUGCCACUGAAAUAAGUUAUUUUCAGCCAUUAACUGGGGCCAAGUUGAGGCCUUAUCUAAGUAAGAAGUUGCUGAUUGACAAUAAAGUAUUAUUUUGAUAUAUGGAAAAAAUAUGGUAUGCAAUUCCUAUGUAGAGAAGCUUCUCUCUGGUAGUUGUUCAAUAUGACCUCAACUUUUACAGGGCACUCUUUUUUUCUUUCUUUUUUCUCUUUUUUUAAUGAACAAAUAUCAUCAAACAAAAGAACAAACAAGCAUAAUAAAACUUUUUACAUUGCCAGGAAUCCUAAACAAACAAAUCAUAUUCAUUAAUAAUACAACAAGUUUUAAUUGCCUUUUUGUUUUUCAUUUUAGUUAAAGUGGUGCCAUAUUGUUUAAACUCAUUUAUAAAUUGAAACAAAGUUAGGUUUUGAUUUAGACCAUUUGCAUUUGUGAAUAUGAAAUGUACCUAUUAUUGUUAGAAUUUCUGAAAUAAAUAAUUAUAUCAAAACCAUUAUAGUACCUAACUUUUUUUGUAACAAAAUUCUGUAUUUCAAUCCAAAACAUUCUGCUAUAAAUACAGGUAAAAAACAAAUGCAAAAUGGUCUCCUUCUCCAUUCCACAGAAAUCUGUUAUAUUCAAUAUUCAGCUUGUGUCACGCCCUGACCAUAGAGAGCCCUCGGGGUUCUCUAUGGUGUUUUAGGUCAGGGCGUGACUAGGGAAGUUUCUAGGUAUUAUAUUUGUAUGUUGGUGUGUGUGUAUGGUUCCCAAUUGGAGGCAGCUGAUAAUCGUUACCUCUAAUUGGGGAUCAUACUUAUUAGUGUGAACUUUUUCCCACCUGCGAUGUGGGAUAUUGUUUUGUGUGAGUGCCUAUGUUCGCUACGUGGUUCACGAUCGUUAUA